ensembl:lncRNA
AGUGUUGAGUUAUACAUUUUUAUUUUCUAAUAGGUACAAUACUAAAAUAAACACAAAUUAAAAAAAAGUUUUAUUAAAACAAAACUGUACAAAAAAGCAGUUAUACUACAUUUUAAUUACAGAACAGUCUACUGUCCAAAAGGCACUAAUCCAGAAUAGGAGAUACAAUGAUACAGGACUCAUUUGAACUAUUUUAAUCAAUACAAUAGAGCACUUGUUUCUCUGUCCAUUCACAUACAGAAACAAGGACUUUGCUACAGUCAUUACACAUUGUUAUAAAUAUGAGCCCUACGUAGAAAGUGUCAUACACAUAAGACAAAGACAGGCAUCUGGAUGUUAACAAAAAUAAGUAACAAAGAAAUAUGAUUAAACAAAAUCUCUUCUCACAUCAUCCUAUACUACAUCCUCCUUCUGCUUAGCAGAAAAUUGUACGUACACAAAAAUACAAAUACACAAUUUUGUAGAACAGUCUGAUUUUAAUAUAUUUAUAUAUAUUUAUAUUUAUAUGAGUGGCAGGUUAGUUCAUUAUAUAGAGCUUUUUGCACUUUUGGCUCAUAUGCAACAAGGCUUUAUAAAUUCAGCUUUAGCUUUCAUUCAGGUUUUAUAGCUUCUUGAACAUUUGUUUUCACAUUUAAAGCAGCAUCCAAUUUGCAAGAGGAGUUGGUGGUGGCUACAGCAAGGAUCAGGUCAAGAGGUUAUUUGGGGGCUAGGGGGGAGGAGAAUAUACAUUCCAGUGUGUGUGUGAGUGUGUGUGAGUGUGCGCUAGUGCUCAUGGAAAACCGACCAGAGGGUGACCACACCACUCCAGGAUCCCAUGGUUACCCCUUGAGGUAGGCAGGAACCUACAGCAGAUGAGACACGGCCCAGCUGGGGCGAAGCAGCAGCUGGGUGGGAGAGGCCAGGGCAGGGAUGGGGUCCUGGGUGUCACUGAUUUAUCUGGUGACAGUGACAGGAGGCAGCUGGAGCCAUCCCAGCACGGCCCAGGCAGGAGAAGUGGAGCUGGCCCCGGGUCGAGGUCACGGUGGGACAAAGUGGAGACACAGAGAAUUGGGAUGUGAGGAACCUCCCCGGCCUUGGUUGGGGUUUUGUUGUUUCCAUGUGGCUCCGAGGCUGUUCCACCGUGCCCUCGCUCGUGGGUUUGCAACUGCAGCACCCAUCCGCUGCCAGGACAGCCAUUUGUCACUUGUCACACUUCCAAAAGGCAUCUCGGAGCAGGGCCAAGGUCCGUGCGUGCCACAGGCUCCACGAACAGUGGAUUUCCAUCAGGAAUCUCCUGAUUUCCAUCAGCAAUGGAUUCCCACAGGAUCACUGCUUCUAUCAGCACCCAUCCCCUCCCCAGAGGCUGAGUGUCUGCCCUCUGCAGAGAUGUCCUCAAAGCUUUCCUUGCCAACAGUCCCUUCCCAGGCCUUCCCACCUCAGAGUGAAAACAUUUUGUUGCUAAUGAAAAAUAAAACAUCUACACACGGCUUGCUUUUAUUUGCUGAACCCUUAAGUGGUACUAAAACUCCUUCAUAGUGUUUGUUACCUCCUCUCACUGUGGUCAGAAGAAAUCCUCUUUUAAUGAAAUAUUAUAAUCUACCACUGAUACUUUUAUUCUUUAAAUCCACAUAAAAUUCUCACCUUUACAAAAUUAUAACCACCUGCUGAUAGUUUAGGGUUAUUUGGACAAAAUGUUUAGCAGGUUCUACUAUGACAAACCUAGAAAUAAUUAAGAAUAUAGGAAGAAACUGCCUUUGGGAUUCCAGAGAGGUUCUGGCUGCCCCAUCCCUGGAAAUGUUCCAGGCCAGGUUGGAUGGGACUUGGAGCAACCUGGGAUAGUGGGAGAUGUCCCUGCCCAUGGCUGGAUGAUUUUAAACCAUUCUGUGAUUCCAAAAGAGGUGAUUAAAGAAGCACAUCAGCUGUUUCCACCCAGAUCUGGUUUUCCAAAGGUGGGCGUUUUAUCACACAGAGCUCUUUGUAUCUGCAAUCCAAGAGGCAGUUUCCUUCUGAAUUCCAUCCUCUUUGCCAUCCACCCCAGAUCAGAGACUGCAAACGUUCGGCUGAGGAACGAGAUCCCCCUCCCAGAAGACUGAGAACCAAGGGGGGCAGCACGAGGAAAGAAUGGGGAGUUUUUCCAGCCGGACUCAUUGGAGGGAUAUGCAGAGGGAUGCAGGGAGGGCUCUUUUCUCAAGAGGGAAAUGAGGUCUAAUCCUAUUCCUCCAGCUCACUCUGGAGUCCUGUUCCUCACUUAGGCACUUUUUAAAUCGACACUAAGAAAAAAAACCAACAAACUAAAAUGAAAGAAGUACUGCACGUAUCUCCCGCUUCCCGGGUUUGGGAAGAUCAUAAAGACCAAGAGGAAGACAGCCAAGGCAUUGUGUCAGGAAAAUGGUCACAACUGACUUUGACUCGUCACCCUUCCACAGAACUGCUGUGAAACUAAACUGAGUUUAAAUCUGAUGCUCCUGGGUUUCCCUGUCCCAUGGUGGCACGGUGGCAUCGUGUCAUCCCACAGGAUCUGACUUCCAACGGGAUCACCGGGCUCUCCCAGCCUCAACCAGCAGCACUGGUGGGAGAAGUGCUGCCCAGAACCACUCAGAACUCCAGCAGCAAUAUCAGGGAGGCUUUGAUGAGAUUCAGAAAGACAUUCCUGGAGCCAACAGCAAGGGAAAAGGGCUUUUUCCCUUUUACUGGGUGAUAGAAUGGGGAAUCUGUCCCUCCCAAAGACCAAACAGGGCUCUGACCCCACAGCAACCAAAAACCAGCUUCAGGUCAGCACAAGGCUCAGGAUGACACUCCAAUUCACAAAGAAGCCAAAAAAAAAAAAACAAACAAACAACAAAAAAAAAAAAA